rnacentral:lncRNA from 1 species
CUGCCGCCCGCCGCGGCCUCUGAGGCGCCGCUUCCCCUCCGCCCCCCGGCGGGCUCAGCGCUGUCCCCGCCGCCUCCCGGAGCCCCAGCCGUGCCGGCUGCUGGGGGCCGGCCCUUCUCCCGCCGCUCAAACGUGAGGCGGAUGCAGCGGGGGCAGGUUUGGGCCCAGCCGGGCGCAGGGUCGGGGUCUCCUCAGGGGUUUGCCGCGUUGCGCCGUUGGUUACUCGGUGUUUAAGCGAGCCGGUGUUUACCCAGGGCUAGCCCUGCCGCGGGCUCCCUACCGUGMCCGUGUCAUUCACUCCCGUGACGUGCCCCGAAAACCUCUGAGAAAUUUCUGUGCUGUACAAAGUGCAUUGCAACAACCAAGAAUAUGUUUAUUUAAACUCUGUUGUGGAAAGUUAUUGAGUUACUUACUCAAUGACUAUUUCUGAGGGCUGAUUCACACCUGUAUGAUAAACCAGCCGCUGUUGGCUCAGGAAAAAUCAUACCUGAACGGCAAAGUAAUCUACAAGGAGGAGAAUCAGUUCCACCCGCAGYGUUUGCUCAGCUGAGUUCCUUGGCUAAUUUUGGUGCUGAUGUUCUGCUUCUGUUACCAGAAAGGCCAGCGCUGCCUCCGUGCCGGCCCAUGGCACACACGGGAUGCGGGAGCAGUGAUGUCAGAGCCAGCUGGAAGGAGCUGCAGCUUUCCCGGCCCUCCUGCAGCCCCAAGGGAUGGGAAAGUUGCCUAAUAGGUCCCUGCUGAAGAAGCUGAAGACAUCACUGAUAGGUAAGUGCCAAAACCCAGUUCUACAGCUGCAAAUCUCGUUCUGCAACAAACACUGAUGUCUCUUGGUGCAGGGAGGAGAACCAGUGAAAAUACCAGAAAAUUCUGGCUUUCAAACUGGUCCUCCCAUUUAAGUGCUCAGCCUUUGCUCUGCUUUGUCAUAGCGUUGCUAACAAGAACUAGUUUUUUUCUGACUAAAGUUAUUUGACAGAUUUUUUCUAGAGUGCCAUUAGCAUGGAAAGAGAAGGCAGAGAAGUCAAAAGAGGAAAUGAUUCAUUUCUCUUGGGCAAAGAGAAUUCUCUCCCCUUUUAUUAGUUAUGUUACCCAAUAUCAACCUGUUGAUACUGCUCAUUUCACUGACAUUUGUUCUUACACCAA